GAGAGCGCUUGCAUGGCAUGCAAGAGGUCAGCGGUUCGAUCCCGCUUAGCUCCACCA
rnacentral:tRNA from 1 species